ensembl:lncRNA
GUUUCAAAAUGCCAAAACCAUUUCAUUCUUUAAACAGUUGUUUAUCAAUUCAUUAAGAGCACUUUUUCCUCUAAAAUACAGGGAGGUUAAGUUUAUAACCCAUUAUGUGAUAAGUAAAUGCAAUGCUGGCAGAAGGAAUGAGGAAAAAGAUUAAAAAGAGGAAGAUUCUCAAAACAAUGCUUAGGUGUGGUGAAAAAAUCCUCUUAAUCCACCUGCAAUUUCAGGUAUUUCAUCAGUAAUACCUAAGUAAACUCAAAACUACAAGCUGAUGCCUGCAGUCACACUGUAUGAAGUUUGUGUCACUCCUCCCCUACAACCUACAACUCAGCUCCCAUUUGCUGGCUACUUUCAUCAGCACGUAAAAGACUGAACCAGAGUACAGUAUUACAUACACUGCUGCAGAUCACAAGGCAAAGGAAAUUACAAUCAAAAUCCAAGAAACCGAAGAAUGGAUCCCCGCCAGUUUUCCAAUCAGCCUCCAGAAGCCUACAAUUCAUCUGAGAAAUCAGGGAUGCCUACAGCAGCACCACCAGCAUACCAGCACAAUCCUGCUGGAUAUCCUCCUUCCUUUCCAAACCAGCCGGUCCCCCAGGGCCCCUACACCCAGGGACCAUAUCCAGGACAGCCUGUGGUCACUGUGCAGCCUGCAGUUUUUGUGACCGCCGCUCCACUGGCUGAUCCAGUGCCAGAUUACCUGGGUUACUCCAUCUUCACCAUGCUGUGCUGCUGCUUACCUCUGGGUAUCGCUGCACUAAUUUACUCCAUCUCUACUCGAAAUGCCAACUUCUCAGGACAGCGAGAAUUAGCAGAGAAGAACUCCAAAACGGCGCUCAACCUGAAUCAUGCUGCCCUUGCUGCCCUUUUUUACUCCCUCACAGUAAGUAUUAGUUCAUAUACCUGUCUUAUACACUUCAUUUAA